UAUCUUAUUUUAGAGAUGCCCCAGUUGGGGUAGGAAUCGGCCAUUUGCAUUUGGUUGCAUCUUCUCUCACUCUCUGCUUCAUCAUCCUCUAUCAUCGAAAUGGUUUGUGUGGCGUUGGCACUAUGUCAGUUCGCCACCAGCAUUGAAGGUGCUGCAUAGACCACCACAUGAUCCGAGGGACGAGGGCUGAACUGGUACCAUGAUAUGGUUACACGUGCCCUUUACAAACAUCCGAAGGGGCUGCCUCUUACGGAUAUACAACAGUGGUGCAUUUAGCAUAAUCCUUUUGUCAUCCGGGCCCACAGAUGGAUUGAUGGCAACUUUGAAUCAACGAAUACUAUAAGAAAGAAUUCUGAAAGAUUUCUUCCUUAUUUGUUCGAUGGAGUCUGCCUGAUUUGCCAGACGGAUACUUGUACGAAUUUCACCCAAUGUGUAAGACAAAUUUCACCUGAUGUUUAGACAGAUUACGUACUUUCUAUUUUUAGACGGAUUCUUUUGAUUUGGUGGAUAGAUUUCACCUAAUUUCCUAAAUGCAUUCCGUCAUAUUUGAUAGACGGAAACGAAAAUGAUGAAAUAGAUGGGAUGUAGCUAUUAUGUUAAAUACUGAUGAAAAUGUGCCGCUUCUGUGAAUACUUUACCAAGGUCUCGAGCAGUAGUACUGGACUCUGUCGCGGGAUCUGUGACGAUAGUUAGGGAGUCUGUAGCGGGUUCUGUGGCGGUAGUCAGGGAGUCUGUAGCGGGAUCUGUGGCGGUAGUCAUGAUGGUGGAGUCUGAAUUUGUAGUACCUACACAUGUAGAUAGAUCAAUUGUUUAUACAUGUACACACAAUGUGUUCUUUAUUUCUUUGUAACAUAUUAAAUAAAAAACGACGGUUGAAC